UAUCUCUGUAGAGUCUGCAUAUCAAUAAGCGGAGGAAAAGAAACUAACAAGGAUUCCCUUAGUAACGGCGAGUGAAGCGGGAAGAGCUCAAAUUUGAAAUCUUCAAGGUUCUACCUUGACGAAUUGUAGUUUAAAGAAGUGUUUUCUGUUGGAGUUUUGGUAAAAGUUCUUUGGAAUAGGACAUCAUAGAGGGUGAGAAUCCCGUAUUUGACCAUUAUUUCAGCUGUGUGAUACACUUUCAAAGAGUCGGAUUGUUUGGGAAUGCAGUCCAAAAUGGGUGGUAAAUUUCAUCUAAAGCUAAAUAUUGGCGAGAGACCGAUAGCGAACAAGUACCGUGAGGGAAAGAUGAAAAGAACUUUGAAAAGAGAGUUAAACAGUACGUGAAAUUGUCAAAAGGGAAGCGUUUGACACCAGUGUUGUUUUCUCGAAAAUCAAUUAAAAAAAGUUGGAUUUUGUAUUGUUAAGACCUUAUCAGCUUACUGUACUCUUUUCUUGCUUUUUUUAAUGCACUUUUCGUUUAACAAGUCAACAUCAAUUUCUUUUGUUGUAAAAGAGUCAUUGGAAGGUGGCUUUCACUUCGGUGAAAGUGUUUAUAGCCUUUGGCUUCUGCAAUCGGAGAGAUUGAGGUCUGCAGCGUAGAUCCUUCGGGGCUAGAUACGUAGAUGCUAAGUUAUAGUUUUUUAUAGACAACUUGUUGACUAUAAUUAAUCAUGUAGCUUACUCGUUUGCGCUAUUUUACCUACGCUUAGGAUGUUGACGAGACUGUCGAUCUC
rnacentral:rRNA from 1 species